AGUGGAGCGAUUUACUUCGGUAAAGGGCGGCGGACGGGUGAGUAACGCGUGGGUAACCUACCCUGGACACACGGAUAACAUACCGAAAGGUAUGCUAAUACGGGAUAAUAGAUUUGGGAGGCAUCUCUUAAAUAUCAAAGGUGAGCUAGUACAGGAUGGACCCGCGUCUGAUUAGCUAGUUGGUAAGGUAACGGCUUACCAAGGCGACGAUCAGUAGCCGACCUGAGAGGGUGAUCGGCCACAUUGGAACUGAGACACGGUCCAAACUCCUCCGGGAGGCAGCCGUGGGGAAUAUUGCACAAUGGGCGAAAGCCUGAUGCAGCAACGCCGCGUGAGUGAUGACGGCCUUCGGGUCGUAACACUCUGUCCUCAAGGACGAUAAUGACGGUACUUGAGGAGGAAGCCCCGGCUACCUACGUGCCAGCAGCCGCGCUACUACGCCGGGGGCUGCCGUUAGCCGGAUUUACUGGGCGGAAAGGGUGCGUAG
rnacentral:rRNA from 1 species